UACGUAGGGUGCGAGCGUUAAUCGGAAUUACUGGGCGUAAAGCGUGCGCAGGCGGUUCGCCAAGUCAGGUGUGAAAUCCCCGGGCUUAACCUGGGAAUUGCGCUUGAAACUAGCGGGCUUGAGUGCGGCAGAGGGGGGUGGAAUUCCACGUGUAGCAGUGAAAUGCGUAGAUAUCGGGAGGAACACCUGUGGCGAAAGCGGCGCACUGGACCACAACUGACGCUGAGGCGCGAAAGCUAGGGGAGCAAACAGG
rnacentral:rRNA from 1 species